CUAAGAAUAUUCCGCAAUGGACGGAAGUCUGACGGAGCGACGCCGCGUGGAUGACGAAGGCCGAAAGGUUGUAAAGUUCUUUUGCUGGGGAAGAAUAACCGCAGGAGGGAAUGCCUGUGGGAUGACAAGAACCGGCGAAUAAGCCCCGGCCAACUACGUGCCAGCAGCCGCGGUAACACGUAGGGGGCGAGCGUUGUUCGGAAUUACUGGGCGUAAAGGGCAUGUAGGCGGCUUGGAAAGCCUGGCGUGAAAGUCUGCAGCUUAACUGCAGGGGUGCGCUGGGAACUGCUGAGCUUGAGUGACGGAGAGGGAGCUGGAAUUCCUGGUGUAGGAGUGAAAUCUGUAGAUAUCAGGAAGGACACCGAUGGCGAAGGCAAGCUCCUGGCCGAUGACUGACGCUGAGGUGCGAAAGUGUGGGGAUCAAGCAGGAUUAGAUACCCUGGUAGUCCGCACAGUCAACGAUGUGCACUAGGUGCUGGGGCGGUAGCUUCGGUGCCGGAGCGAACGUGGUAAGUGCACCGCCUGGGGGAGUAUGCUCGCAAGGGUGAAACUUAAAUGAAUUGACGGGGUCUAGCUGUUUCCU
rnacentral:rRNA from 1 species